rnacentral:rRNA from 1 species
AUUGAACGCUGGCGGUAUGCUUAACAUAUGCAAGUCGAACGGCAGCACGGUAUGUAGCAAUACAUAUGGGUGGCAAGUGGCGGACGGGUGAGUAACGCGUAGGAAUCUGCCCUCAAGCGGGGGACAACCCGAGGAAACUCGGGCUAAUACCGCAUAAACUCGGAAGAGAAAAGCUGGGGUAACCUGGCACUUGAGGAGGAGCCUGCGUCUGAUUAGCUAGUUGGUAGGGUAAAGGCUUACCAAGGCGAUGAUCAGUAGCUGGUCUGAGAGGAUGACCAGCCAAACUGGAACUGAGACACGGUCCAGACUCCUACGGGAGGCAGCAGUGGGGAAUAUUGGACAAUGGGGGAAACCCUGAUCCAGCAAUACCGCGUGGGUGAAGAAGGCCUUCGGGUUGUAAAGCACUUUAGUUGGGGAGGAAGGUUAGCAGUUUAAGAGAUGGCUAAUUUGACUGUACCCAAAGAAUAAGCACCGGCUAACUCUGUGCCAGCCGCCGCCGUAA